AAUUUGAAAUCGGGCAACCGAGUUGUAAUUUGGAGACGGACCUAGAGAGGAGGAAGGCGAUUAAGUGCCUUGGAACAGGCUGCCGUAGAGGGUGAGAGCCCCGUGAAUCGCUGGAGACCGAUCAAUUAGUGCCCGCCGAAGAGUCGAGUUGUUUGGGAAUGCAGCUCUAAGCGGGUGGUAUAUUCCAUCUAAGGCUAAAUAUUAGCGAGAGACCGAUAGCAAACAAGUACAGUGAUGGAAAGAUGAAAAGAACUUUGGAAAGAGAGUGAAAUAGUACGUGAAAUUGUUGAAAGGGAAGGGUAUUUGAUCCGACAUGGUGUUUAGCAGCGGCCCGUUCCUCGUGGAUGGGUGCACCUGGUUUACACUGGGCCAGCAUCGGUUCUGGGAGCCAUAUACGGGGUU
rnacentral:rRNA from 1 species